rnacentral:rRNA from 1 species
GGGUUGUGAGGUUAAGCGACUAAGCGUACACGGUGGAUGCCCUGGCAGUCAGAGGCGAUGAAGGACGUGCUAAUCUGCGAUAAGCGUCGGUAAGGUGAUAUGAACCGUUAUAACCGGCGAUUUCCGAAUGGGGAAACCCAGUGUGAUUCGUCACACUAUCAUUAACUGAAUCCAUAGGUUAAUGAGGCGAACCGGGGGAACUGAAACAUCUAAGUACCCCGAGGAAAAGAAAUCAACCGAGAUUCCCCCAGUAGCGGCGAGCGAACGGGGAGCAGCCCAGAGCCUGAAUCAGUGUGUGUGUUAGUGGAAGCGUCUGGAAAGGCGUGCGAUACAGGGUGACAGCCCCGUACACAAAAAUGCACAUACUGUGAGCUCGAUGAGUAGGGCGGGACACGUGGUAUCCUGUCUGAAUAUGGGGGGACCAUCCUCCAAGGCUAAAUACUCCUGACUGACCGAUAGUGAACCAGUACCGUGAGGGAAAGGCGAAAAGAACCCCGGCGAGGGGAGUGAAAAAGAACCUGAAACCGUGUACGUACAAGCAGUGGGAGCACGCUUCGGCGUGUGACUGCGUACCUUUUGUAUAAUGGGUCAGCGACUUAUAUUCUGUAGCAAGGUUAACCGAAUAGGGGAGCCGAAGGGAAACCGAGUCUUAACUGGGCGUUAAGUUGCAGGGUAUAGACCCGAAACCCGGUGAUCUAGCCAUGGGCAGGUUGAAGGUUGGGUAACACUAACUGGAGGACCGAACCGACUAAUGUUGAAAAAUUAGCGGAUGACUUGUGGCUGGGGGUGAAAGGCCAAUCAAACCGGGAGAUAGCUGGUUCUCCCCGAAAGCUAUUUAGGUAGCGCCUCGUGAACUCAUCUCCGGGGGUAGAGCACUGUUUCGGCAAGGGGGUCAUCCCGACUUACCAACCCGAUGCAAACUGCGAAUACCGGAGAAUGUUAUCACGGGAGACACACGGCGGGUGCUAACGUCCGUCGUGAAGAGGGAAACAACCCAGACCGCCAGCUAAGGUCCCAAAGUCAUGGUUAAGUGGGAAACGAUGUGGGAAGGCCCAGACAGCCAGGAUGUUGGCUUAGAAGCAGCCAUCAUUUAAAGAAAGCGUAAUAGCUCACUGGUCGAGUCGGCCUGCGCGGAAGAUGUAACGGGGCUAAACCAUGCACCGAAGCUGCGGCAGCGACACUGUG